ensembl:lncRNA
CGCGAAGACAGGAAGCUUUAGUAUCAGGGUUCAGUGUACGUCUCAGUUCAAAGUUUCCAUUUUAAAGCCUCCCAAAUGCCAAUGUCUAUUCACACAUUUGCAUAUGGUUGUUGUGUUGUAAAUCACGACUCCGAGGGGAUUCGAACACAACCGUGUGUACCAGCAGUAAGCCCCACCAGGACCCCCCGACCCAGGCCGAGUCAUGCCCCGGAGAGGCGACCUGCGCCCCGGUCAGAACUGGCGGUUCCGGCUCCAUCUAUGGAGGCCGAAAGGUGGGCCCCGGCUAUCACUCACGCCCGCGUCGGCUCGACCAAUAGUGUCCGUGAUACAGGUUCAGGUCUGAAGGAGCAGGCAGGGGGCCAGGCUGUGUAUUGAUCCUUCUGCUGGGAGUAAAACAUCUAUAGCUGCUCCACGUCUAUCUGUGUCCAUGCUGGUAGCAGUUGAAGAGCCCCUGCAGUGUUGCACGUGGAGGGGAAGGGAACAAUGCAACUAACGGGGGUUAAGCUUUGAUUACAGCACGCGGGCACAAUAAGCAAACAUUCAGCCAGCACGCCAGGUGUGUGCGGUGUAACGCGCUGUCAUGGCGUGAAAUUCAAUACAGUUAUUCAAUAAAAAAGAGUCGAAAUGAAUGCAUUCUUUGGAAACUGUUCACUGUGUUCGUUGUUUAAUACAAUCGUUCAUAAACAGUUCCCAUAAUAAUAAUGUUCUAUGUUGGUGGUAAAUUGUGUCUUCUAAAAAAGUCCCAAAAGUGUUUUGUGAAUCUUCUAAACUCUGCGUUAGGAAUAAAAGUACUGUGUCCUCCGCAAUAAUAAACUUGUUUUUUCCCGUUAUUGUUUUUGACAUUCAGUGAUCUUGAAGUAUUACAAACCAC